UUUCCGUAGGUGAACCUGCGGAAGGAUCAUUACAGAGUUCAUGCCCUCACGGGUAGAUCUCCCACCCUUGAAUAUUUAUACCUUAGUUGCUAUGGCAGGCCGUGGAAACACCAUGGGCUCCGGCUUAUGCGUGCCUGCCAGAGGAAACAAACUCUGUUUUUAGUGAUGUCUGAGUACUAUAUAAUAGUUAAAACUUUCAACAACGGAUCUCUUGGUUCUG
rnacentral:misc_RNA from 1 species